rnacentral:rRNA from 1 species
AAUAAUAUAAGGGCGUAUGGUGGAUGCCUAGGGAUAUCGAGGCGAUGAAGGACGUUGCGUGCCUGCGAUAAGCUCCGGUGAGGUGGCAAGCAACCUUUGACCCGGAGAUUUCCGAAUGGGGAAACCCCUUCGUGAAAAACACGAUGACCCGUAGCAAUACGGGAGCGUACCCGCUGAAGUGAAACAUCUCAGUAAGCGGAGGAAAAGAAACCAAGUUUAGUUCCAAAUACAUGCGCCACACAUGUACGCGUGUAUUUGUGAACUAAAUCAUUCCCCAAGUAGCGGCGAGCGAAACGGGAACAGCCUAGAUCGUUUGAUACAAGGGAGCAAUCUUUUGCAUCGGACGAAGUUACAAGAUUAUGAUGUCGAUUCAAUUCGAGAGGGCAAAAAAUCGAAUGUGUUAGGAGAACGGCUCUGGAAAGGCCGGCCAAAGAGGGUAAUAGCCCCGUAUUCGAAAAUAUGUUCGUGCUCUUUUUCAUAACUCUUAAGUACUGCCCCGUUUGUAGUCUGGGCAGGAAGUCGGGAGAACUAGUCUCCCAAGGCUAAAUACUCGAUAUCACCGAUAGUGAACCAGUUCCGUGAGGGAAAGGUGAAAAGCAGCCCGGUGAGGGCGAUGAAAUAGUACCUGAAACCAUACGUUUACAAGGAGUCGGAGUCCGUUGCCCGCAAGGGUAACAGGACGACGGCGUGCCUAUUGAAGAAUGAGCCAACGAGUUUUUGGAUUCUACUCGUCUAAGUGCCUUUAAAGCACCAAGGCAGAGGGAAACCGAGUGUUAAUAGCGCGAUCUAAUUUUUAUGUUCAUGCGCUAACGCGUAUGAACGUAUAAAUUAAAAGUAGAAUUCAAAAGACCCGAAACCUCGUGAGCUUACCAUGAGCAGGUUGAACUCCGAUGAAAAUCGGAGGGAGGACCGAACCGGUUGGUCGUACAACGCCUUCGGAUGACUUGUGGUAAGGAGUGAAAAGCUAAUCGAACGAGGAAAUAGCUGGUUCUCUCCGAAAUAGUUUUUGGACUAGCCUCGGAGAGGGGAAGAGCCCAGACCGUCAACUAAGGUCCCUAAAUCUAUGCUAAGUGGCAAAAGUGGUGAGGUCUCUCAAACAACAAGGAGGUUGGCUUAGAAGCAGCCAUCCUUUAAAGAGUGCGUAACAGCUCACUUGUCAAGAGAUCGUGCGCUUAAAAUUUAACGGGGCUAAGCAUAGUCCCGACGCACAUACCGAAGUUACGGGUUUGUUCCGCGUUCGCGCGGGACAAGCGGUAGGAGAGCAUUUCAAAUGCUGUGAAGGUUCACCCGCGAGGGGGACUGGAGCGUUUGGAAGAGAGAAUGUUGGCACAAGUAACCACAAGCAGGGUGAGAACCCCUGCCGCCGAAAACCCAAGGUUUCCUUGGCAAUGACAAUCAUCCAAGGUUUAGUCGGCCCUAAGGCAAUGGCGAAAGCCGCAGCCGAUGGACAGCUGGUUAAUAUUCCAGCACUGUGGUGCAUAUCGAUGGCGGGUCGGAGCGAAGUAUGUCGGGCGUAUUAUUGGAUUUACGUUUGCGGCGUGAGGAUGGAGCGUAGGCAAAUCCGCGCUCAAGCUCUUUAAUGAGCGCCGUCCAAGCGUCAUGAAAAUCAUGCGGAGCAAUCCAAAUGAAAUUCGAUAAAGCUCGCUUCCAAGAAAAGCGUCUAAGAUUAUAUGCAUCAUGACCGUACCGGAAACCGACACAGGUGGGUUGGUCGAGUAGACUAAGGCGAACGAGUGAGUCUUCGUUAAGGAACUAGGCAAAAAAGCAGCUGUAAGUUCGCAAUAAAGCUUACCAGCCAAGUGAGGCUGGUCGCAGCGAAAGUACCUCUGGCGACUGUUUACCAAAAACACAGGUCCCUGCUAACUCGUAAGAGGAUGUAUAGGGGCUGACGCCUGACCGAUGCGAGAAGGUCAAACAUUUCCGUAGUGGAGUUAAGAUUACAUCAAAAUUUUAUUGCAUGAGAUGUCAAGCCCUCGUCAAUGUCAGCGGUAACUAUAACCGUUCUAAGGUAGCGCAAUUCCUUUCCGGGUAAGUUCCGGAGCGCACGAAAGGCGUAACGAUCGGAGGACUGUCUCAACGAAGAGCUCGGUGAAAAUACAAUGCCGGUGAAGAUGCCGGCUACCUGCAGUUA